rnacentral:tRNA from 1 species
GCCCAGGUGGCGAAAUUGGUAGACGCAAGGGACUUAAAAUCCCUCGAAGGUAUCUUCGUGCCGGUUCGAGUCCGGCCCUGGGCA